rnacentral:lncRNA from 1 species
GGGACAAGCAGGAAAUCAUUCUCUUCCUCUUCCUCUCUUCUCUGUGAAGUCACCAUGUGAUCGCCAGGAAGACAGGACACACAUGGUAUGCUGGAUGCAUUGUGAAGAUAUUCACCUCUCAAACUUGGAGGCCAAGGACUCCGUUUAUUCCCACUUUGCAUUCCCAGCUCCUCCAACACGGAAGAAGCUUCCACAUCUGGGUGAUGGACGUAAAACUAAGCCAGAGCAUCCGGUAUAAUUAAAGGGAUCAGUUUCAUCAGUAGUGAUAGCUGACGAAAAGGCAGCCCGCUAGGUGGAAGGCUCUGGGAGUCAAAGAGAACAUUUGUGCGACUACGGACGUGGGACCCAGAAAUUAGCCUUUGUCUGCACCAAUCAGGGGCUGAGGAUACAAAGCGCUCAGCGGCCGAAGAGCCGAGCAACUGAGGAGCCCAAGGGCCGAGGGGUUGAGCGGCUAAGGAUAAAAUGAGCCAAGGCUACAACAAGCGGAAGGGCCGAAGAGCGGAGACGUGGAAGCGCUCGGGUUUCCCAACUCCAGGAAGCGAAAGGGAGAACUCACCUGGAAGCGGCCGCGCCACCUGCAGAGCCUCAGCCUAUUUGGCGAGCGCCCGCGUGGGUGGGCGGGCCUGAAGCGUGGCCACACCUUCUGGGCCCGGUCACGCCCCCUACGGCGUGCGCGUCCCCGCCCGGCGCCGCCUCGCGCAUGCGCCGUCAGCGGGAGACGGAGGUUGUGGGCGGCGGUGGCCACCGGGCGCGCGCUCUGGCUCUCGCCGUCGUUCCCUCUCGCUGGGUUCGCGUUCGCGCGCCGGGGCCGUGGCAGCAGCGGCAGCGGCA